GAUGAACGCUAGCGACAGGCCUAACACAUGCAAGUCGAGGGGCAGCACAUGAGUAGCAAUACGAUGGUGGCGACCGGCGCACGGGUGAGUAACACGUAUGCAACCUACCUUCUACCAGGGGAUAACCCGUUGAAAGACGGACUAAUACCCUAUAAUACAGGGGCUCCGCAUGGAGAUAUUUGUUAAAGAUUCAUCAGUAGAAGAUGGGCAUGCGCAUGAUUAGCUAGUUGGCGGGGUAACGGCCCACCAAGGCAUCGAUCAUUAGGGGUUCUGAGAGGAAGGUCCCCCACACUGGUACUGAGACACGGACCAGACUCCUACGGGAGGCAGCAGUGAGGAAUAUUGGUCAAUGGGGCGAGAGCCUGAACCAGCCAAGUCGCGUGAAGGAAGACUGUCCUAUGGAUUGUAAACUUCUUUUGUACGGGAAUAAAGUGGGCUACGUGUAGCCUUUUGAUGUACCGUACGAAUAAGGAUCGGCUAACUCCGUGCCAGCAGCC
rnacentral:rRNA from 1 species